GUAUGAAAAUGCAGUGUGCAAUCCACGUAAAUGGAUAUUGGCAUAAAAGAACAUAAAGACAGAUUAAAUUGCUGUAGUUCCCAACAGGUGACAACAACUGAUUAGCUCUAUAUAAUACACCGGUAGGAAGGCAGAAAGGAAGGCAAGAGCAGAAGUCUGAAGGAAGGAUGCUGAAGAGGCCAGUAUGCAGCUGCAGUAUGGUGCAUGCCAUAUUUGCAAAACAGAGCUUGGCGCGUCUGCAUAACUCAUUGCUGUGGAAAGAGUCAUCAGGAUGAUGAAUUGAAACACAGCCAUCUCCAUUAUGGUGAAGUCCCAUGUCCCUGAAGACAAAAGCAAAACUCUCAUUGAGAUCUGACCCAAUGUGCUUCUUCUGGGGGAUGAGGGCUGCUGGUUGCAUCUGCACCUCUUCAAAAGCCACCAGAAGUCAUCCUUCAGGUGAAAACACCCGAGCCCUUUACUCCUUCUCAGUGGGAAUGUUUCUGCGGUGGCUUUGGCACCCGACACCCCCCGUUGCAGCAGCUGGGGGCCAGGCAGCUGCCCACACUGGUACCUGUGCUGCUGGCCUGGGGGCUCCACGGCUCAGCCCCAACCACUGGCAGCCCCCAGCGAGCAGCACAGGCUGUGCAGCCAGCAGCAAGUGCCAUCUGGCGUGUUACGACUUCGUGCUGCGAUAUCAGUUUUUUUUUUUUUUCCCUGUGGAAGGCUGUGUAUGUAAAUGUGAUGCUCGCUUCCUCGGCUGCCGGCAGCCAGUGGGGAACUUUGCUCCAGUAAAAACAAACUGAGCUGAGCAAGUCUCUCCCUAAUCCUCUCUUAUUCUUUGAAACAGGCAGGGCUCAAAGGGAUUUGCAGCAUGUUUCUCAGGAUGAACCACUGGUGAUUAACAUUCAUGCCAGGGCUGCUCCUCGUACAUUUUUAAUUCCAGUUACGCAAACCUCCGGGCAGAUGUAGGGGCACACCAGGAUCACAGGUGACCAGGUACAGGGGGCUUGGGUGCCACAGCCUGGAAAUGCCUGCGGCAGAGUGGCAUGCAGGUGAUCUCUAAGCAUUUGGGGUGCAUAACAUGUAUAUUAAAAUAUACUCCGUAAAAAUAAUCACAGGUUGCAGAAGAGAACUGACAGCUCUGCAGUAAGGGAAAGGCUUUAUACCACCCUGUCAUGCCAUGCGUGUCAAAACAGAUUGCAUUGUCUGGAGAACUUGUGUGAGCUUGUAUUGCCCUCAUUUUUGAAAGAACUGAAGAACGCAGAGAAGACGAGUAAACUGCCAAGGCUGUGACAAGCCCCCUCCACAGGGUGCCACACUGUGGGGUGAACGGGGGGGUCCCCAGGGCUGGCACACUGCGUGCCCCAGAGAUGUUCCCUCAGUGCUUCUUUGCAGCAGUCAUGUUCUGAAAGCAGAACCAGGACUUGCCAUCAGCAGGAGCAUUUCUCCAGCAAAACACGGGCAAGCAUUGCACAUGGUAACCCAUCCUCCAAAGAGCUUUCACUCAUAUUUGAAACCUGGCCUUAAUCUGAUUGUAUUUACUUAAAAUGAGCAAUGACAGAUCGAUUGGAAUUUUGAUUGAGAAAGUAGUGAAAGGUCUGGCUCAGAAGAUGGAAAAUCUGACUAUCUGACAACAUCAUACAGAGACCUCGCCUUAGAUAGUAAUGAAAAAAUAUUCCGUAAGUGAGCCUGGAUGAUUCUUUACAUAUUUCUUGUUCACUCCUUAGAGAACAAUCUCUGUCCCUUAAAAAUAGAAGAGAGGAGAAAUGUUCUCGCAGCGGCGUUCCAGCUGGACGCAGACGUCCCCCUCCUGAUUUAUGCCCCACGUGUCGGAGGGGAAACGGCCCGAGCUGCGUGUCCCCUCGGGCUGCUGGGGCAUGGCGCUCUGCAGAGCUCCCGCGGGUACCCAGCAGAGCUGUGCCGAGACCUCAAGAACGAAAAUGUUAAGAAAUCAGAAGUUCACAUUAUAUAUUGAACUUUUACAUGCAUAUUUCUACUUUGUUUUAGACUGCGUGCAUUGUCGAUGCCAGCAGUCCAUGUACUUUAACUCCAGGAUGUCCCCGAGGCACAGGUGUGGGUGAAAGGGGUUUAUCUGCCCACUCGUGGUCUCUACAGGGCUGCACAACUGAUGUUUUCCUCUAUAUGGUUCAGCUGAGGUCGUCAGUUUGUCAUCACACACAGCCAGCACUGCU